rnacentral:rRNA from 1 species
UGGGGAAUAUUGCACAAUGGAGGGAACUCUGAUGCAGCGACGCCGCGUGAACGAAGAAGGCUUUCGAGUCGUAAAGUUCUUUUAUAUGGGAAGAUAAUGACGGUACCAUAAGAAAAAGCCCCGUCUAACUACGUGCCAGCAGCCGCGGUAAUACGUAGGGGGCUAGCGUUGUCCGGAAUCACUGGGCGUAACGGGUUCGCAGGCGGAAAUGCAAGUCAGGUGUAAAAGGCAGUAGCUUAACUACUGUAAGCAUUUGAAACUGCAUAUCUUGAGAAGAGUAGAGGUAAGUGGAAUUUUUAGUGUAGCGGUGAAAUGCGUAGAUAUUAAAAAGAAUACCGGUGGCGAAGGCGACUUACUGGGCUCAUUCUGACGCUGAGGAACGAAAGCGUGGGUAGCAAACAGG